rnacentral:rRNA from 1 species
AGUGCGAUAAGGGAACUCCGAGUGCGAGGGCAUAGAGCCCUCGCUUUUGUGAACCGUAAGGUGGUUCACGAAUAAGGGCUGGGCAAGACCGGUGCCAGCCGCCGCGGUAAUACCGGCAGCCCAAGUGAUGACCGAUAUUAUUGGGCCUAAAGCGUCCGUAGCUGGCCGCGCAAGUCCGUUGGGAAAUCUGCUCGCUUAACGAGCAGGCGUCCAGCGGAAACUGUGUGGCUUGGGACCGGAAGACCUGAGGGGUACGUCCGGGGUAGGAGUGAAAUCCUGUAAUCCUGGACGGACCACCGGUGGCGAAAGCGCCUCAGGAGGACGGAUCCGACAGUGAGGGACGAAAGCUAGGGUCUCGAACCGGAUUAGAUACCCGGGUAGUCCUAGCUGUAAACGAUGCCCGCUAGGUGUGGCGCAGGCUACGAGCCUGCGCUGUGCCGUAGGGAAGCCGAGAAGCGGGCCGCCUGG